UACGAAGGGUGCGAGCGUUGUUCGGAAUCACUGGGCGUAAAGCGUGCGUAGGCGGUUUUAUAAGUUUGAAGUGAAAGCCCAGGGCUCAACCUUGGAAUUGCUUUUGAAACUAGAUAACUCGAAUCUCGGAGAGGAUAGCGGAAUUGUCAGUGUAGCAGUGAAAUGCGUAGAUAUUGACAGGAACACCAGUGGCGUAAGCGGCUAUCUGGACGAGUAUUGACGCUGAGGCACGAAAGCGUGGGGAUCAAACAGG
rnacentral:rRNA from 1 species